GUGAUGUCCUUGCUGUGGAGCUCUUACAGAAAGAUGCCCAGCUUGCCAUUAGCUAGGAGCUUGGAGGACCAUCCCCUGGGGAACGCAAGACUCUGCCCCCAUUACCCAAAUUUGUUACUGAUGAAUGGUCUUUUUCCUAUAGAAACUUACAUUGCUUAGCUUUCUGUUUACUUCGAAUGGUCGGGACAGAAAGUGGUUCAUUUUACUUCUUUGGAUUUCAUCAGAUAAUUUAGAUACUUAAUAGAGUUGGUUCUAAGUUGAACUUGCAAAUUUGGCCUUUCAGAUUUUUUUAGUUAACUUAUUUGUUUAUAUUGGAAGCGUGGGAUGGUUGGUGUUUUUUUUUAAUACAUUAAUUACCUUCUAAUUCAUUUGACAGCUGGAUUAUGUUAGAAUACUUGAUUGAGUGGGUUGAAUUUUUUCCUAAUAUUUUGUUUACUUCUUAGUGGCAUUUUUUGUUUGAAUUAGUUCCUAUAUACUCCAUUUCCAGAACUAUGUUUUUUUUUCUUUUUUUGGCUUCAAUGGUUGGGACUAGGGACUAGGGACUCGGGAGAGUAAGUUGUGAAAGGAAGCUUUCUGUACCUUAACAGCUUUUCUCCUAUGUAGAAGUGGAAGCAGAAGAAUGGUUGAACGUGGCAGAAGAUUUUGGUAGGCCUUAGUUUGAUAAUAAUUUGAUGUUUGAUACUUAUAAAGAGGAAGGAAAUGAAGUAGAAGAUGAGGUUCACCAAAUUGCUAAAUCACUUCUUUUGCAUGAAAGACUUUGAAGAGAUUAGAAGAACAUGACAUAAGGAGAGGAGGGAGAUGGAGAAUGUGCUAGGACUCUCCAAUAAUAACAAUAUAGGGGAGGAUGGCGAAUUCAGUAUGGAGGUGUGUAACAUCCUAGCAUGGGAUGUGGUGAAGCAUAGCAUUGAAAUGUGUGAUGUCAUGCAAAAGAAUAUAAAGAUGGACCAAUGGUGUUAGUAUCAUGAAGUCUGGUAGUGCCUAUAGGAAAGAAAAGGAGCUUUAGAUGUGGUAGAGCCUAGUGCAGAAAGGAGUAAGCAUUGAAGUGUUAUAGGGGAUCAGCUCUGCAUGCAGAUGAUUCUUUUUGCGCUUGCUUGGUGAGCAAACAAGUCUCAAGUGUUUUGGGUUUUAAAUAAAGUUAGGGCUUGGUUGUCUUAUUUUUGGUUGUUUUGGGUUGGUUGAGUGCUUUUUCUCUUUGUUUCUUAGGUAGGGUGGAUGGGAUUUGGCUUGUUUUAGUUUAUGGUUGGUUUGCUCUGUUUCUUUGAGGUUGAUGAUUACUCAUCAACUCUUGUACCUUGUUCUAUUUCUUCAAUAAAUUUUAUUUUUUAUUUAUUUUCAAAAAAUGCCUACUUGAGAAAGAGGGAGUGGUAAAAGAAUAUUUUAAGAAGGUUUUUCAAAUAGAAAAAGUGGAAGACAAAGAAGGUUUUAUUUAUCUAAUUGUGGGCUGUGUUUGAUUUGGUUGAUCUCUAGUACUAGUUGAACUUUGUAUGUUGAUUCAUUCAAGGGGGUUUAUUGGGCGAUGCUGGUUGUUGUUAUAGAACGUAAAACUGUCAUUUUAUUAUAGGUAUAUGGAUAUUGUCUUCUGCUUUAGGAGCCAUUUGGUUUGCGUUGUAUACUAAUUGUAUAUAGUUUUUUCCUUUUAAAGAACAAUGCCUUUACAUUAUAUAUGAAGUUUGUUGCAUCUGAAUUAUGCAUUAGAUUACCCUAUUUGGUAUAAGGCCUAUGGGAUGUUGCCAUGUGGAAAACUUUUGUGUUGAUUCGAGUUUAUCCAAAUGACUCAACUAGAAAAACCUAUGCCCUUUGUCAAAACAUUGAAUUUUAGUUCUUUACUCAUUAGCAAGAUAAUUGAGGACUUAUUAUUAAUGAUGUGCGGAAAAGGUACACGAUCUAGACCUCCUUCCAUUUUGUAAAAGAGGAAAAUAUCUGGUAUUGCUAACAAUAACAUUUCACAAAACAUCUAAUCCUCAACAAUGGUUUCUCAUUGUCUUCAGCAUAGACUACCUUUUAGGAGUCUACUGAACCCAUAUGGGCAAUCUGUUCCUCCUAAAUUUCAAUGAUCUCACUUUCCUGAUAUGAUGCUGAAGCUACCAAGGUCCAUCUUUGUGUGAUUGCAUCCAUCCAAUGACCACUUGAGCCCCCACAUUAGUGAAUUCUCUAUUUUGAAGGAUAAAUCCACUCUCAAGCCCUGUAGGUUCAAAAAUGAUCUCUGUUAGUGCAAGAUGGGUCCAGAAUAAAUGCCAAGAAGAUGCUCUUUUUGAUCUCUGAAGGCCCCUCUAGCACUUGAGAGGCCUGAAUUGCCUCUAGGAGUUGUGACCAAUAUUUAUUGCCAUGCCUUCUUUGCAUGGUAAAACUAGUUAUGGUCUUCUGCCCUCCAAGAAUAGUGUUUAUAAUCCUCCUCUUCAUGAUCCAAUGUGCUACCCUGAUUGGUACCAAAUCAAUGAUGGAUCUGACUUUAAGCUUCUUGUCAUGAAACUUUCAAAUCUUUCUCCUCAUAUGCCCCAAAAAAUAGCAGCUCAUAUGCACCUUCACGUUAUCUCUGAUGUUAUUGUCCAUUGGUGAAUAUAUCAGAUCCCUUUAUAUCAAGGACCAGUUCAAUACUUUGCAGUUUGCAAGAGACAAUAUAAAGAGGAAGGGUGAGAUCCGAAGGUUGCUCCAGAUGUUGAAGAAGUAUUGGACACCUUCUGUGUUGCAGCUGAACUAGGAAGUGAUUGUCUUGGAGCAUAUGUGAAUUCCAUGGCCUCAUGGCCUCUAAUGUAAGUGAUGUCCUUGCUGUGGAGUCCUUAUAGAAAGAUGCCCAGCUUGCCCUUAGUUAGGAGCUUGGAAGACCAUCCCUAGGGAACAUAAGAUUCUGCCCCCAUUACCCAAUCAGGUAAGUGCAGGUAUAAGUGUUGAUUCAGCCAGGCAAAACUAAGCGGCCACCUUUGUUAAUGCUUUUGUGGAUGUUUAUCUUGGACAGGAUAAGUGGAUGACUAUUCCUUCUGAAGCUUCAAGUGGUGGUUCGACUGGAAGUUGACCAUUCAAGAUAGGGCUGUCAACAAGUACGGUCUGGUUUGGGUCUCGGUAGAACCAGUCCUGAACCGAUUAUUAAUAAGACAAAGUCAUAGCCCUAGAACCAUCCUUGUUAACUUAAUUAAGUUUACAUAAUGCCUUAUGUUAAUAACCAAACGGAUUAUACUGAAAACUAUAUGUUUUUUUAUUUAAAUAGCAACUUAAAAUUUAAAUCUUGAUAAUAUAACUUUAACAAAAUUGAUAGAAAAAAUAUGAAAUUAUUUAUAUCCUAAAAAGUUAAACACUUUUAACUAAUAUUAUCUAUCGAAUUUGCCAUUUUAAACAUAUAAUAUGUUAAAAAUUAUAAUAAAAUUAAGAAAAUAUUAUAUAUAAUUAAUAAAAUAGUCGGUUUUAGGUCUGAAUGGACAGGUGAGAACAGGAACUGGCCCAAUUAUUAAUUCGGACAUAAUCGUAGAACCAGAACUGUUAUAAUCAGUUCGGUUUGUACAGGUCUGUCGGGUAGACCCAACCCAUUGACAGCCCUAAUUCAAGAAUAAGGAACAUGGUAAUUCUUCUACAAGGAAACAUAGGUAUAUGUUUUGUGGUGUUAGCAUGCAAUUGAAUUGUGAAAUAUUACAGAGAGAAGAAAAACGACCCAUAGCCAUGUCUACAUGUUAAGACCUAUAUUGAUAAUGAUUCCAUUAGAGAGAGUGAAAAGGAACAACCUACUGCACCAAAAACAAAAAGCACAAUCAAUUACCUAACCUCAAGAGAGGCAAACCGCAAACCUAAAAUGAUAAUAGGAUAGAUACAUACAAAGUGCUCGUUCUCCACUUCACGGGAAUGGGAUAUACUUGCAAAGCUAGUUCCUCCCAAUCCUACUAGAGGGCUUUCAUUUGGAUGACUGCCAAGUGAUUCAUCACACUUUCAAUUAAUUGUAGGACAAAACAGGCUUCAAUCCUCAAGUUAAAUCCAUUCCAAAAGAAAAGGGAUAAUAUAUUGUUUCAACUUGUAUAACAAUCUUCUUUCAUGUCAUUGCAAUUUUAUAUAGUGUGCUUCAAAAUUCUCAAUAAUAGGCCUUCGCAGACAGGGGAGUUCCAAUGGGACAUUCAUGCAUCCAGAGAAUGGUUUUACUUUUAAGGAUCCAUUUCUUACUUGGAUACAGAAAAGUUAGUGAUGGAAUUACUUCAACAGUCACCUGCUAAGGGAAUUGAUGAGCACCUUUUUGAGUUCUCUGAGAAGCAAGAUUUUUAGAUGAACACAUUAUUAUUAUUAUUAUUAUUGUUAUUUGUAUUUUAUUAACAUUAUUUUGUAUUCUUAGA